rnacentral:antisense_RNA from 1 species
CUUCAACGACCCCAACCACAACGGACGCCCCGCAGGCCGAUCCUGCCCAUACGUUUCAAUCAGCGCCUGCGCCUC